UACGAAGGGGGCUAGCGUUGCUCGGAAUCAUUGGGCGUAAAGGGUGCGUAGGCGGGUCUUUAAGUCAGGGGUGAAAUCCUGGAGCUCAACUCCAGAACUGCCUUUGAUACUGAAGAGCUUGAGUUCGGGAGAGGUGAGUGGAACUGCGAGUGUAGAGGUGAAAUUCGUAGAUAUUCGCAAGAACACCAGUGGCGAAGGCGGCUCACUGGCCCGAUACUGACGCUGAGGCACGAAAGCGUGGGGAGCAAACGGG
rnacentral:rRNA from 1 species